rnacentral:rRNA from 1 species
GAUGAACGCUGGCGGCGUGCCUAACACAUGCAAGUCGAACGGAAAGGCCGUGCUAUUGUGGGGUGCUCGAGGGGGGAACGGGGGAGGAAGACGUGAGUAACCUGCCCUUCACUUUGGGAGAGCUUCAGGAAACGGGGGCUAAGACAGGAUAGGAGCUCCUGCUGCGUGGAGGGGGGUGGAAAGUUUCGGCGGUUGGGGAUGGACGCGCGGCUGAUCGGCUUGUUGGUGGGGGAGGGGCUUACCAAGGAUGUGACGGGUAGCCGGCCUGAGAGGGUGACCGGCCACAUUGGGACUGAGAUACGGCCCAGACUCCUACGGGAGGCAGCAGUGGGGAAUAUUGCACAAUGGGCGGAAGCCUGAUGCAGCAGCGCCGCGUGCGGGAUGACGGCCUUCGGGUUGUAAACCGCUUUCGCCUGUGACGAAGCGUGAGUGACGGUAAUGGGUAAAGAAGCACCGGCUAACUACGUG